rnacentral:rRNA from 1 species
GCCUACGGGGGGCAGCAGUCGAGAAUAAUUCACAAUGGGGGCAACCCUGAUGGUGCAACGCCGCGUGGAGGAUGACGGUCUUCGGAUUGUAAACUCCUGUCAUCCGGGAGCAAGACCUGACGGUGAAUAGCCGGCAGGGUUGAUAGUACCGGAAGAGGAAGGGACGGCUAACUUCGUGCCAGCAGCCGCGGUAAUACGAAGGUCCCGAGCGUUGUUCGGAAUCACUGGGCGUAAAGGGAGCGUAGGCGGCGUGGUAAGUCAGAUGUGAAAUCCCGGGGCUCAACCCCGGAACUGCAUCCGAUACUGCCGUGCUAGAGGAUUGGAGAGGUAGCUGGAAUUCACGGUGUAGCAGUGAAAUGCGUGGAUAUCGUGAGGAACACUCGUGGCGAAAGCGAGCUACUGGACAACUCCUGACGCUGAGGCUCGAAGGCCAGGGUAGCGAAAGGGAUUAGAUACCCGUGUAGUCC